CUGAGUAGUAGUCUGUCUCCACAUUCAGAAGGCACUUUUAAAAGAGCAACCUUAAGGAGUGCUUAAAUAAAACAAAUUCACCACACAAAGAUUUCUUACCAGACUGACCACAUUCUUGGCAAUGUAAUAAGGGGCUGAAGAUUUGUUUGCAAAUCCAGUCUUGUUGCUUUUUGGACAUCUUGUUGCAUGGGAAAAUAAUUGCACCUUUUAUCAUGCAAAUGUGAGGUCCAGAGGUCAGGGAAAUGAUACACAAUUUUUUAGAAGGGAACAUAGAAGACAUUUUGUAUGCAUGCUCAUAAAGGGGAGGAAUGGCACUGGAAUGUGGGAGGAUAGGGAGAAAAAGUCUAAAGAUCCGAUGUCUGCAGGAAAACGGGGCUAUAGGGUGACUGCUGUCCUUGCUGUCCUCAGUGAGAGAAUAUAUCAGGCAAAUUCAGGAUAACACCACACCCUACUUCCUUAUUGUGAACUAGAGGGAUUGCUCCACUCCUCCUCUGCACCAUUACCUCCUGUCCCACCUUGCCUGGAGGAAGAACAGACUUCCUUGGGGCAGGUGCCUCCCAGCUGGGGUGAGGAGCAGGGACAGUCAAGAGCUGCUGAACUGCAGGGUGGUUUGAAGAGCACCACCGAGAGGCCGUGACUGGAGACAAAGGAGGCGCUGGGUAAACGAGUGGAGGAAAGGCAGCUUUGAGUUGGAAGUUGCAGAAGGAAUUGCUGAGCAGGACAGAGUAGAGCAGAGGGACUUUUGAGGGACCAGAGAAGCCGCAUUUGGGUGCUGAGAAGCAGCUAAGGAGCUUAGCUCCAAGCUGGAAAGCUUACACAGAUAAUGAGCCCAGAAAGAGGGAUAAAGGAAAUACUUCAAUGAUGCAAGGAGUGGGUUCAUAUUUACCAUCUCUCUCCUUGUUUUUAUUUAGGUAUGAGUCAAAUCUGGCUGGCCUCCCUCACAUGAGAAGUGCCACCAAACACUAGCCAGCUAGUCUACUCUGAGGAGCAGGGGGAGUCUAUGUAUAUCAAAGUCGUCAGUAAUUAAUGUGUAUAUGACAGAACACAUUGGAAAAAAUGCACCAGAGACCUGAGAAUGGUUAUGUGUGAAGACUAGUUGUAUUUUAAAGAAUUUCUCUGCCUCUUUCCAGGACAAAAAACAUGCACAGUCACUUAUCUUGAGUUUUAAUAUAGCUAUUGUUCUGCUCAAUACCACUUCGGCUUCCUCUAAAUAAUCAACACAAAUUUCCUCAGAUUUUUACGAUUGCUCAUCCACUAGUCUGUCCCAUUCAAUUCACUUGAAUUUUCUAAAGAACACAGGAUUCACGUUUUCCAGCUAAAUUCAUGUUUACAUAAGAUUGCAGAAGAAAUCAGGCAAUAGAGCUAUGACUAGAAUCAGGCUUGUAAGCUCUUACUAUUUCCAGAUUGGCAUGGACAAACUCUUAACUUACUGUUUGUUCAGGCCCAUAAAGAGCUAGGUAACUAUGAUCCUUGCACCAAAGUAAUUCCUCUACUUUUAGUCUGAUUCUGACCUCACACAAACGCAAAAGAAUUUCUGACUUUUGUCCCUGGACAUGAUGCGUGCAGGUCUUUGGGUAAUACUUAAACUGUGAACACAGUUCAAGGUUAUCAUUCCACAUUAACAAGGGUUGGCUGAGAGAGUAAUCUAAAGUAACCAAUUAAGAAUUACAAUGGGCGCCUGUUGGAAUUUUCUCUGUGAGGCCUCUCUGUUACAGGCCUAGUCCUGCAGUCUUGGCUCUGAAGGGCUUUGACAUUGAGGCAGGAUUGCGAGUUUGAGUCCUGUGGGAAAAGCUCGCUUACAAGCGUCGCUAGUUUGCAAUGAAACAAAUCUCAGCUUUCGUUCAGGGUUUCACUACAGCUAAGUUUCCCAUAAAUGAGUUCCACAGAAUGAAUUACUGGGUCUAAAAAUGACUCAAUUACCUUUUUCCUAAUGUUCUGAGAUUGCUUUCAGGGUGCGAGUUUGAAUCCAUCUAGGUACUGAGUAUGCAGCAUUGCAUUUCUCCUCAGAGGAAGAAUAACCAGGUUACUAGAAGGACAAGAAAAUAACCUAAAUUCACCUUUCAAGCCUGCAAUGUACUUGUCAGUGCAAGUUUUAUUGGGAUCUUUAAGAAUACUCAUUACAGAAAUAAAUUGUUUAAGCACACACUGCA
ensembl:lncRNA